GGGGUUGUGGCUCAGUGGUAGAGGGCUUGCCAAACACACAUGGGGCACUAAGUUCAAUUCUUAACACCACA
rnacentral:tRNA from 1 species